GGUGAACCUGAUGAUUCUAAUUACACUGCGGCUGGUGCUGCUGUCAAUGUCAUAUCUGCUAACCUUCAAGAUUUGUCUAAAGGCAUCAAAAUGAUUGCCAGUCUUCUUGACGAUACUGAUGACAGCAACAAACUGCUAGAUGCAGCUCGUGGAUUGGCAUCAGCAUUCUCUAAUAUGUUGAAAGCUGCUCAGGAAGGAUCCAAUGGCGACAAAGAGAAACGAGGCAAACUCCUCAGCGCUGCAGGUGAUGUUGGCUCAUCUGGUGCUCAGUUGCUUGAAUACAUGGGCGAACCUGAUGUUGACCAGAAAA